rnacentral:rRNA from 1 species
GACGAACGCUGGCGGCGUGCUUAACACAUGCAAGUCGAACGAAGUGGCGAACGGGUGAGUAACGCGUAAUCAACCUGCCCUUCCGAGGGGGACAACAGUUGGAACAGACUGCUAAUAACGCAUACUGAAGGAGGGGAUUGCGUCUGAUUAGCUAGUUGGAGGGGUAACGGCCCACCAAGGCGAUGAUCAGUAGCCGGUCUGAGAGGAUGAACGGACACAGUGGGACUGAGACACGGCCCAGACUCCUACGGGAGGAAGCAGUGGGGAAUCUUCCGCAAUGGACGAAAGGCUGACGGAGCAACGCCGCGUGAGUGAUGACGGCCUCGGGUUGUAAAGCUCUGUUAAUCGGGACGCGGUACCGGAAUAGAAAGCCACGGCUAACUACGUGCCAGCAGCCGCGGUAAUUC